AUUGAACGCUGGCGGCAGGCCUAACACAUGCAAGUCGAACGAGUGGCGGACGGGUGAGUAAUGUCUGGGAAACUGCCUGAUGGCGGGGGAUAACUACUGGAAACGGUAGCUAAUACCGCAUACCAUCAGAUGUGCCCAGAUGGGAUUAGCUAGUUGGAGGGGUAACGGCUCACCAAGGCGACGAUGCCUAGCUGGUCUGAGAGGAUGACGAGCCACACUUGAAAUGAGACACGUUCCAGAAGCCUACGGGAGGCAGCGGUGGGGAAUAUUGCACAAAGGGCGCAAGCCGGAUGCAGCCAUGCCGCGUGUAUGAAGAAGGCCUUCGGGUUGUAAAGUACUUUCAGCGGGGAGGCGUUACCCGCAGAAGAAGCACCGGAUAACUCCGUGCCAGCAGCCGCGGUAAUAC
rnacentral:rRNA from 1 species